rnacentral:rRNA from 1 species
UACGUAGGGUGCAAGCGUUAAUCGGAAUUACUGGGCGUAAAGCGUGCGCAGGCGGUUUUGUAAGUCUGUCGUGAAAUCCCCGGGCUCAACCUGGGGAAUUGCGAUGGAGACUGCAAGGCUAGAAUCUGGCAGAGGGGGGUAGAAUUCCACGUGUAGCAGUGAAAUGCGUAGAGAUGUGGAGGAACACCGAUGGCGAAGGCAGCCCCCUGGGUCA